rnacentral:lncRNA from 1 species
GUUAAUGAAUAGCUUGGAACCUAAGAAAGGGUGUGAAAUGAAUUGUUUUUUAAGGUGUUUUUUGGUACACACGACCUGUGACACGAUCUACCACACAAAUGUGUGCCCCACACGGCUGUGUGCCCCACACGGCUGUAUGACACGACUGUGUGCUCUAUUUAAUUUUAGUAAUUUUAGGUCCACACGAUCUCAAAGAGUUACACGACCUAGCAAC